GCGGAUUCCAAACAUUCCAAUAAACCAAAUUCCAUAGACCUAUUUUACGUCCGUUUUUCCCUAUGCUGAUACGCCUUUGGUGAUUCUCCUUCUCAUCUUCGCCUUCAAUUCUAUCAUAAUCACACAAUCCCCAUUCUAUUUACUUUGAAUCGUAAAUCCAAACCCUAAAAUUUUUCCAGAAAACCCACUCGGAUUUUGGGUUUUGCUUAAUUUUCUAUAUAUUAACAUAAUUGCGUUGUUUUUGGGGGCUUUAGUAUUAUUGUUUGUGUCAGGUUUUCAAAGUACCCUUUGAAGCCUUGAUUUGGUUUUUCUUCAUCUGGGGGUUGUUUCACUUUGCAAGCUGGCUAUGGACUACGAGCCGUAUGACAGCAGUGGAACAGAUGAUGACCUCCCCCCAUCACAUCAAAAUAGGAUUCCAAGAGGUGGUGGCCGCAUGAAUGGAAAUGGGAGAUCUGCUGUAAUGGCUUCUGUACCCUACCAAAGGAUGUAUGGUGAAACUGACAUGGAGGCUCAAAUCCAUCAGCUUGAGCAAGAAGCAUACAGUUCGGUUCUAAGAGCCUUUAAAGCUCAAGCUGAUGCCAUUACUUGGGAGAAAGAAAGUUUGAUAACAGAGCUUAGAAAGGAGUUGAGAUUAUCUAAUGAGGAGCAUAGAGAGCUUCUUGGCCAGGUUAAUGCAGAUGAUAUGAUAAGGAGAAUAAGGGAGUGGAGACAGACUGGUGGGCUUCAAUCCGGCAUGCUUGGUACCGGUCAAGCUGUUCAUGACCCAAUACCCAGCCCUACUGUCUCUGUAUCUCGCAAGAAACAGAAGAUUACUUCAUCAGUACCUUCUCAAUCCUUUGGUGGACCAUCUCCUUCGUUUCACCCACAAGCUGUUUCUGCUUCACAUCAGCCAUCUUCAUCAACUGCUAAACGAGGACCUGUCUCAGGAUCAAAGAGCAAGAAGCAAAAACCUGUUUUACCUGGUGCUUCAUCAAUUAAGUCCAUUCCAUACCCAUCCUCAGGUCCAUCGGGAAGGGGUCAAGUAGCAAAUAGGGUUUCUUCUGGUGCUGCUCCUGAAGGGGCUACACGAGAAUCAUUAAUUGGGAAGAGAGUCAAGACUAGGUGGCCUGAUGAUAAUAACUUUUAUGAAGCUGUUAUAACUGACUACAAUCCAGUUGAGGGACGGCAUGCUUUGGUGUAUGAUAUUGGCUCGGCAAAUGAGACAUGGGAAUGGGUUAAUCUUUCAGAGAUCUCUCCUGAGGAUAUACAAUGGGAAGGCGAGGGCCCUGGUGUCUCUCAUCGAGGGGGUUAUGGUGGAUCAGGCCUUGCAAUGAAUAGAUCGGUAGGUCGGGAUAGUGUUCCAGGUGUAGGAAGAGGUAGAGGUAUCACAAAGGGUCAAUCCAGAAAAGAUUUGUUGCCAUCACAGAAUGGAAUUGGAAAGAAGUUGCCAGAUGAUAUACAAAUUCUUCACACUGAUACUCUAAUCAAGGAAGUGGAGAGAUUAUUUGGUGCAAAUCAUCCUGAUCCUCUUGAGAUUGAAAAGGCAAAGAAAGUGUUGAAGGACCAAGAACAAUCACUUAUUGAUGCAAUUGCAAGGCUUGGAGAUAUUUCGGAUGGUGAAAGUGAUGAGGGAGGCCACCACUAUGGGCAGGCAAUGGAGAGAGAAUGACAGGAACAGUUUUUUGAUGGAAUGCUGCAUAUCUUAUGCUUUCAGUUGCAAAAUGGCUGGAGAAAGGGAAGACUCAGAGAUGACAAAAGAUGGGAUAGAAGAGACUGACGGAAUCUUUAGAGAGAUGCAUCUGACUUGAAGGUCAUUUUCUUGUAUAAUACUUUGCUAUAAUUAUAUGUUUCUCCUCAAAUAUGGGAUGACUUUGGGUUUGGGUUAUUUAGGAUAGGUAUUGUAGGCAAGCAAAUUGUUGUAGCCAGGUGAUAAAUUUUUAGUUAGCAGUAAAAUCUUGUUUAGUAAUUAGUUUGCUCGUGAUGUAUAAAUUUUGUGUUAUGGCUACAUCUUUUUUACACUGGGAGUUGCAAAUAACUUUCUCGCAGUCCAUGUAACUUGGAUGAAAAGAAUCAUCUUUCUGAUUUUUCUUGUUAAUGAUAAAAAUAGCAUUUUGUGAGUUGUUUUAAUGAGACCUUCUGUUCCUG
rnacentral:misc_RNA from 1 species